UUUAAAUCUAUGUAUUGCAGAGCAUUUCGAACAGAUACUCAUGUUAAUUUCUUCAUGUUUUUUGUCAGUGUUGGCAGAAAAUAUAUUAAUGAAUGGAAAUGGAACAACCCAGCCCUACCUCUUCAAUACUCUCAGCUCCCAGGACACACUCCGAGACAAGACAGUACAGGUCUUCUAAGGACUGAGGAAACCAGCUAACAUAGCUCUCUCAUAAAGUCACAAGAAGUCCUGAGGAACAUGAGUCCCCAGGUAAAGAACAAAUUUAAGGAGUCUGAACUGAAGGACAGAGCAAUAUACAGAAUCACAGAAUUACAGUACUGAUGGAAAGAACCUCAUGAGACCAUCUAGUCCAAUGUUGCUGCUCAAACAGUGUGAACUAGAAAAGGCUGCA